UGUUUACUGAAGGUUUACUGAAGGUUUACUGGAGGUUUACUAAAGGUUUACUGAAGGUUUACUGAAGGUUGAAUAAAGGUUUACUGAAGGUUAAGGUUCAUAAUUUGCAGAGUGUUUCACGACACAGUUUAAAACCUUCAAGUAGGUCCUGGAGUUUUCUCUGGUCAGGUUACGUGGUCUGGAGAAACUCUUGGCCCCAUCACCCCUGAAGUGAAUGGAUAUGAGAAGUUGAGCAGUGAGACUAUGGUGGAAUAUACAGUGCUGUACACACACUGAAUAUACAGCCCUGUACACAAUGACUAUACGGCCCUGUACACACAAUGAAUAUACACAAUGAAUAUACACAAUGACUAUACGUCCCUGUACACGUAAUUAAUAUACGUCCCUGUUGUCUACUGGGCCUAUGAGCAUGUAGAGUCUACUUUGUGAUUUAGAAAUUGCUGGACAAUCUUGUAAUAAAUGCAUAAAAAAUA